rnacentral:lncRNA from 1 species
UUUCUCUUCUUCAAUCCCUUCCACAAGCCGCCAUCGGUCACCGCCACCAAAAUCCAAACCGGUUUCAUCUCCUACCUCCGAUGCCGCUUCUCUCUUUCUGUCAACACGACCACACCAUCAUCCUCCUCACCACCGCUUUCGACCUCCAACCAUCCCAGCCACCACUAUAUCAUCGGCCACCGCCGUUGACCUUUUUUCCUUUUUCAUUUAACCUUUUUUUAAUUGCGUUUUUUCAAUUCCUCUAUCUUCUUAUUUUUUUCCAAUAGUGUUAUAUACCUGUAUAGUUGCUUGAAUUUUUUCAGAUCUGAAAGAAGAGAGAAGAGAGAGAGCUCCAUAUGAGAGUAGAGAGAGAGAGAGUGAUACAGGGAGAGUCAAAAUCAAAGGAUGGAUGCAAGCAAGGAGAGAGGCAGCGACGGCGAUAGCAAGAGGGGGUUGGAGGAGGAAGAGGGCAAAGAGAGAACGAGAACAGAGUUCUCUGAGAUUGAGAAAGAAUGAAAAAACAGAUCCAAAAUUCCAAUUUUACCCUUUGCUUUUUAACAAAAUUACAAAGAUGCCAUCCACAUAGGCAGGUGUACAAGAAUGGUAUUGAAAAGGGUAUGUCUACCAAUAAUUUUCCAACUUUAAAG